AGGGGCAUAUGGAGUUAGGGAAUCUAGAAAGCCUCUUAAAGCGAUAUUGUGUUCACCAGCCUGCAACAUUGUCCCCACUGAUCCUUGCUUCCUGGUAGUCAUGACUGUGUAAUCUCCCUCACAUCAGAGCUGGUCUGUGUGACUGCUCCGCCACAAGCCCAGCUGGGCUCCGACAAUGGGAUAUCAUGCUGAGAGACCGAAGAAACGACCCAGAGACUGCGAACAAGGCACACAGGUUUAUUGGGCCCUACUUAUGAGGAGGCGGCAGGCUGGACAGAAGUAUGCGCCCUCCCACAACCGCCCCCUAAGAGACGCUUGCUUAAGUAGGCAGAGGAACAAAGGCUGCAUGUUUGCCAAAGGGCUGUCCUUGGUAUGACCAGCGUUCCCAGAAAAGUAGCUCACACGGAGGGGCUCUGUGUCUCCCUGUAAGACCAAUGUUCUUCUCGUGGGAUAAGGGAGAAUCCAGGCUGGCCAGGCCCAGAUUGUUACAAAUCCCAGUAGCUGGGCCGCCUGCUCAGAAGAGAGUCGGAAAGACAACUGGUUGCAAUGGGCCUGGGAGUUUCUGCUGAGCAAGCAAGGCCCAGGCCCUACAGUGACCAAGAGUAUGGUGAAAGUGUUGACCUUAAAGAGACAGCCAGUUAUUUCUCCAGCAAAAAUCGGUUUAUUCAAGAUCAACAAAGAAUCACGAUUCAGUAUCUGCAACCUUGGCAAGUCACGUGUAAGUUCCUAGCAGCAAGAGAAGGAGAAACUCUUUUAUAGAGGGGAAGAGGAAGUCGGCAGGGCUACUGUAAAGAAAGAGUCCAUUGAGGAAUUGAGAGUUUGAAGUGUAGUGACUUUUCAUUGGCUAAAUUGUGACAGCAUCUCAUUGGCUAAGCUCUUGCCAGCCAGAAGAGGAAGUCUUUCUUCUUCCUGUGGGGCUCUGCCCUGUGGUAGAGCUUGAGAGCCCCGAACUCCGUUUUAAAUGAGGUUUCUGUUUAUUACUUUUAACAGAGGUGAUGGUAAGUGACCUCUGAGGCCAGAUCGUAAAAAGUAUUGUGGCUUCCACCUUGGUCUCUUGGGUUGCUUGUUCUUGGGGAAUCCAGCUGCCACAGAGAACGUUCAAACAACCCUGCGGAAGAACGGAGGACUCCCACCAAGAGAAGGGAUCUUCUGCCCGCAGUCAAGCCUCCAGCGGCUCUCCCCUCAUGAGUAGUCCCCAGCAGGAUCGCUCAGCCAAGAUGCUCCUAAACUCCUGGCUCGCAAAAACUGUGGGCAAUACAAAGCAUCCAUGCAUUACCCACAAGGAGAGGACAUACUGUGUCAGGAUGCAGGGGAACAGAGUACCAGGAACAAGAAGACCUAGACGGGCCUUCUCCUUGACUCCCUGUGUUGUGUCCUGACUGCAGGCUACACCAGGUCUGAAUAAAAUAUGACCAGCGUCAACUUGGCUCCAAGCUCUUGACCUUUGUAGAAGAGAGCAACCUCCUCUUGUCUGGAGACAUUUGAAAGAUCACACCUGAGCAGGUUCCUCUCAAGGUUAUGGUUGUCUUCUUCAAGAUCUGACAUGACUUCCCUCAUUGCCUUCAGACCCAUAACUAUGGUGGAGAAAUAGCCUUUGAAGAACUGUGUGAUUUGUUCCAGUUUGCAAGGUCAGUAAGUGGCAGAAACAGGCCUUGACCCCAGUGUUUUUUAGCUUCAAGGUUCAUGGUCGUUCCUCUGUACCAUAAUGAAUUAUAAUAGAAGUAGAAAGGGCCUGUGGUGUAUAAAUGAAUUAAUCCUGGUUGGGGGAAUCUGGGAAAAAUUUUGGAGGAAGCAAAAUUUAGGUCUGACCUUUUGAAGAAUUCAACAGGUGACUAUGGGGAAGGAAAAGGCACUCCAGAUAGAGGACAAGCCUAGAGAGAGCAAAGCAUAAAGCAUAUCUGGAUAGUGAUGAGUGGUUUGGAAAUUCAAGGGGGCGAGAAAGCAUGUCCCAGAUGAAAUGCAGUGAGGCCAGGGACUGGGUCUGCUGUUGCUCACCCUUGUAUCCUCAGGGCCCAGCAUAGCACCUGGCACAUAGUAGACUUAACGAAUAUUUGUUGAUAGAUUGAAGAUAAGUCUGGAAACGAGACUGAGGUCAAGGUUCAAAGAGCUUUGAAUAUGAGGUUGAGUUUGAACUUUAUUCCAUGUGUGAUAUGAAGCCAUCUGAGGAUUGCAAAAAGAACGGCCUUAUCACUGAAUCUGUGGAAAUAUUUUCCUAAGCAGCCAUGUGUAGGAGGCUCUGGGACAGAAGACCAAGGUGGACGGAGACCUAUGGAUGAGGCCUGAAUGAGGGUAGUCACUGUGAUGGUAAAUUCAAAAGGUAUUUUGGAGACGGAAUCAACAGGAUUUGAGAUGAGAUUUUUGAGUGUGGAACUAAAAGAAGGAGGAACUUGGAGAUUACACAGCUUUCAAGGCCAAAUCCCUAGGAGGAUGGUGAUGACUCAAGAUAAUGAACAGAGGAAAAGAAUAGAAUAGAAACACUAGGUGGGGAAUGUCUGGGGUCAAAUGAUGACUCCUGCUCUGGAUGGUCUGUUUUUGAGACGCAUGUGGAACAUCUCGGGAAGAUAUUCAGCUGGCAGCCAGCAGAUGCUACCCUUAGGGGACAAGACAGAAGUAUAUAUUUAUGCAUGAUUCAGGUGGAGGAUACAAUUGAAACUGUGGGAAGAGAAUAAAUACUCAAUGAGAAACCCAGAUCAUCAAAUAAGGAAAAGUAGAUUGAGUAAUACCUGAAAUCAAAUUCUGGUUGUGUACAUAGACACAACUUUGAAAAGAACAUCAUAAACUGUAAGAGGGAAAGUUAGUUAAAGUCAUUCCAUACACUCUUUUCUCAUGACAAUCUGGGGCAGAUUUUGUAAAAAAUAUACGCACCCACAUACACUUCACAAAUAAUAGAAAUUUUAGUGAUAAAUUCUUCCAUUAAAAUUAUUUUUAAAAAGAAAACAUCUUUAGAAAAAUUUGGAAUAUAUCCAGAAUAAGUUGCUGACAAAUUAUUUUGCAGAUACCUUAUAAGAACAUGAAUUACUUACAAAAAGUGAAUAUUGCAUACCCUUGACAAUGUCCGCGUGACGCUUUCAUCCAUGCAGAGUAAAAGUUGCUAUUUUUCUCCUAUAACGAUGUUUUAUGAAUGACUGGUCCUAUAUUUGAAUUUUUUUCCCUGUGAGUUAAGUAUCUUAAUGGGUUUGGUUUCACAAAGGUAAACCAAAAACUGAGUUUGAAAAGGCUCAAGAAAUGGAAUUGUUCUUCAUAAUAGAAGAGUUUGGAGUUCUUCAGGGAACCCAGAAGGAAAGGGAUGGAGGUAAGGAGGAGAAUGGGAGGAGUAGAGAGAGAAGCAGCAAGAUAAUGAAUAGCCUGGUGCCAUGUAGGGUGGAGCAUGGGCUCCAAGAACUUGUAGGAACAUAAAUUGCUAACUCUCAGUGUCUUUUUAAAAAAUUUGAUUCCCCCAGUGAAGCCACCCACCAUCACUGCUAGCCUCCACCAAACCAGCAGUAAGUAAUAGAUGACAUGGACUAUCUUAAACCACUCAAGGCCUGUUAUUACAUAGAUGCCCAGAAAAGUGAAAUGACCCACCCAAGAUGACAGAUUAAAGCUUAGCUUUGUGUUCCUUCAAACCGCCUUGUACAUAGCAAGUGAUGAAUAUGUGCUGAAUUGAAUUGACAGUCUUGCCAGUGCUAAUCACAUAGAAGAGAGAAUAAAACCUAAGUUAUUUCAAUAAUUUAGUGUUUGCCUUGGAAAGGAUGAAGAAACUGAGACUGAGAGAGAUCAAAGAACUUGCCCAGUAAGCGGCGAAUUUGAAUCUAGACGCCUGAGUAAAGAGCCUGAAGUCUUAAUCAUCACGCUCUGCUCUCCUUAUGUUUUUAAGUGAGAAGACAGAGCAUGAUGACUCAGCUUAGAUGUCUUCCCUCCUACUGAGAAACCCAGGCCCCAAUCCUACACAGCUGGCAUCGCUUAACUGAACUCACUAGCUAACCUUCUAGUCCCGUCGGGCAGAACGCUCAAGCAGUUAGGUGAAAAGACGGUUAAUGACUGACUAAUGCUAACACAAGUCAGAAUACAUAAACUCAGCAAAGGUAGGCAAAAUGCUAUGGGAUGGGGCAAUGGAGAUUUACUGUUUCAUGGGUACAGAGUGUCAGUUUGGGGUGAUGAAAGAGUUUUGAAGAUGGAUAGGUGGUUGCACAAUAAUGUGAAUGUACUUAAUGCCACUGAACUGUCCGCUUAAAAGGAUUUGAAACGGUAAAUUUUAUGUUGUCUGUUUUAGCACAAUAAAAAAUGCUUUAGGAUGCCCAUAAUAGUUGUAUAUUUUCUGAAUCCUUUGGGGUCAUAAUGAGGAUUACAAAUAUAACAUUUUGGGUUUUCUAAGCUUUCUUAAGGAGGGCGACUUUAUGGGCUGACCAGCAGCUUCUGAUAUGACUCAGCACAAAAAGAUGGAAUGGGACUCUGUCUCUCUCAAUCUCUCUCUCCCCCACCUCCCUUCUGAUUAGGAAACAGGAAGAGAAGAUUUUUAGCAUAGCAGAAGUGGACAUGACAGGAAGCCCACAGAGCUGCCAUGAUGUAGGGCAACAAGGGAAAAGACAAGAGUACAGGCCUUGAGGAGUCAGAACAAGCCCUUGUUAUUAUCAUAAAAUGGAAACUAGCAGCAAGCAGACGCUUUAAGUAGAGGAGCAAAUAGGUGAAACAGAGAAACAGGCUAGUUUCAGAAACAGCUGGAUCCCAAUAGGCGCAGACUAGUGGGGAAUAGCUGAGUGCUGCUGGCAGAGAAGCCCUAUAGUGGGUCCUGAAGGCCUCUGCUCUCACUGUGGGCCUCAGACAACCCAUGGACUCUGAUUUCCUGGGCCCAGAGAGUUCAGAUAUUCAUGGGUUUCCAUGCCUCACUAUCCUUGCAGGAAUAAACUCAUCAUAUCAGGCAUUACUCAGAACUCUUUUAUAAAACAUGCUAUUUGAGUAGGGGGUGCUUCAGUUUGAGAGGUAUAGAAAGGAAACACGAUAUAGAGAAAUGCAAUAAAAAUGAACGAUGAUUGUGGAUGGUAAUCUAUUGGAAACUUUGCUAAGAAUAGGAUGAUUUAAUUUGAAAAAAUAGCUGAGACUGAUAAAAGAAGACCCAUAACAAUCAUUACCACUACCAAACUAAUAGUCACUCAAUAACGGGUCUAAAGAGGAGUGCUGGAAGGUGAAAGAUAGUCGUCUUAGCCAGUAGUAGAGCCUGAGACAAGAGCUGGUGUGCAGUUAGUUGAACGUGAUAACUGGGAGCUUGGAAUGAGGGAUCAGAGUAAAAAGGAAUGGAGAGAAAACCAGUGCAAAAAUGCAUUACCCCUAUGGGUUGUGAAGAGGAACAAAAUUUGCCACCCCAAAAUGUGUCUUUCUAACAUAAGGGUUAUUUUAGGCUGAUUAUUUUUAAGAAACAAAAGGCUCAGAAAGUUUUUCUUGUCACCUACCCCUUAACUGCCUAAAGGAAUUCAGGUAAAUUAAAAAAAUCUGCUCCAGGAAGCAAGCUCUUACCAUAGCAUAAUAUGAACUAGGUGGUAGAUAGGGAGGAACCCAGAAAAGCCUGUUUGUUGCACUCCCCUCUGUGCCCCGCUGUUUCUAUGUGACACCAAACAUUUAUUUACCAAACAUUUGCUCUUUUUCAUGUACCUGAGAAUUGCCUUCCUUCUCUUUAAAGGCCCUGACUCUCCCCACCUCCAACACCCUCUUUUGUCUUCAGCUGAGGCUGGUAUUUAAGGUGAGGGCCUCCUCCAUUUUGGAGAGUUACUCUGCUUUCCUGGGUUUUUCUCAAGUUUACAUGUUAUUAAACUUUUGUUUAUUUUUCUCCCAUUAAUCUAUUCUUUAUUACAGUGAGUGUCUCAGCCAAGAACACCAGAAGCGUAGAAGGAAAGUUAUUUUCCUUCUCAACAGUUGGUUACCCCUAAGGGCAAACAGUUACUUUUGAGAAUCUUUUAAGAAUUGCAAAAGAUGCCUCAAAACUAUCCACUCAAGGGAAGGAAAAAGGAAGCGUUUGUCCAUAGGUUCCUCUCCUAUUUUUGCCACUUGGAGAGUUAACUACCCUUUGGGGAGCAGGUCCCCAGGGGUAUCCCUAUGUCAGCGUUAGAGAAGCCCUGGCAAAGCUGGUUGAAUCUUGAGAGACGUUGAUCAUGGCAGCACAGCCGGAAUAGGGGUCAGGAGGACCUGGGCUGUUUACAGGAGGUGUCCGGUAUCGUGCGAUCUGUUCCUCUUGUUCCAGUCAGGCCCCCUAACCACAGUAAACCCAGAGAGCUAAGUUCUAAGGUAGACACCUAAGGCCUUCAACUC